GUCAUUAUCAACCAUCAAGCCUGGCUUGUCGUUGGACCCUGGUCGUCAAAAAAGACCGGUCCGAAAGAUAAUGGACGGGACCUGUCGGCCCUGGAUGCAACGAGCUUCACAGCACGCAUCGAAAGGUCGACGGCCCCGCCCUCAAACCCCCAUUUUCUAAGGUUGACCUCGGAUCAGGUAGGAAUACCCGCUGAACUUAA
rnacentral:misc_RNA from 1 species